rnacentral:rRNA from 1 species
UACAGAGGGUGCAAGCGUUAAUCGGAAUUACUGGGCGUAAAGCGUGCGUAGACGGUUAUGUAAGUCAGAUGUGAAAGCCCCGGGCUUAACCUGGGAAUGGCAUUUGAGACUGCAUAGCUAGGAUGCGGAAGAGGGCAGUGGAAUUUCCGGUGUAGCGGUGAAAUGCGUAGAUAUCGGAAGGAACAGCAGUGGCGAAAGCGACUGCCUGGUCCAGCAUCGACGUUCAGGCACGAAAGCGUGGGGAGCAAACAGG